rnacentral:rRNA from 1 species
UACGUAGGUCCCGAGCGUUGUCCGGAUUUAUUGGGCGUAAAGCGAGCGCAGGUGGUUUAUUAAGUCUGGUGUAAAAGGCAGUGGCUCAACCAUUGUAUGCAUUGGAAACUGGUAGACUUGAGUGCAGGAGAGGAGAGUGGAAUUCCGUGUGUAGCGGUGAAAUGCGUAGAUAUAUGGAGGAACACCGGCGGCGAAAGCGGCUCUCUGGCCUGUAACUGACACUGAGGCUCGAAAGCGUGGGGAGCAAACAGG